CGCCUCUGACUUCUCCAGCAGAUGUUUGGAAAUGGUGCUAAUGUAGUGGAUUAUGUCUGUGGGUGAGCAAGCAGUGAGAAGCUCUGAUACUAAUGAGAACUGAGUUAACUUUGGUGAAAUGUGCUUUUGAUUUCCUGCACAAAGAAAUGCACGAGCGUCUCUCCUCUUUGCCCAGUUUCAAGGUCUGUGCUUUUUAUUGUUUUAUACUGAGCUUUUAGUAAUCAGCGCUCCAUAAAAGGCACUUUUUGCCCCGUUCUUGUUCCUUCUACCUCCGAACUGAUCUUGACGCUCCAUAAGAGGAAAGAUUGUGACCUGAAUGUCUUCCAUGUUUGGUAAUCCAGCAUGUAUUAUUUAUUUUUUUAGCAUGUAUGGUGGAAUCCAUGUAAUUCCAGGAUUUUUCCUCCAAAUCCACCAAAAGCACCUCAGAUCAACACGGUGAAGUCAAACAACAUGACGGCUGACCAACAGACUGAGCCGAAAACAAGUCACAUCGCUGAUCCCAGUUUUAUUAUGUACAUGUGUAUAUAAUAAUUCCCUACCUACGUUGGCCUGCCUUUGUUUUGUUUCAGAGUCUUCAAACAAUUGGUGAAUAAAUCAU